rnacentral:rRNA from 1 species
CGGGUGAGUAACACGUGGAUAACCUACCUAUAAGACUGGGAUAACUUCGGGAAACCGGAGCUAAUACCGGAUAAUAUAUUGAACCGCAUGGUUCAAUGGUGAANGACGGUUUUGCUGUCACUUAUAGAUGGAUCCGCGCCGCAUUAGCUAGUUGGUAAGGUAACGGCUUACCAAGGCAACGAUGCGUAGCCGACCUGAGAGGGUGAUCGGCCACACUGGAACUGAGACACGGUCCAGACUCCUACGGGAGGCAGCAGCG